UGACCUCGGAUCAGGUAGGGAUACCCGCUGAACUUAAGCAUAUCAAUAAGCGGAGGAAAAGAAACCAACAGGGAUUGCCCUAGUAACGGCGAGUGAAGCGGCAACAGCUCAAAUUUGAAAGCUGGCCUUCGGGUCCGCAUUGUAAUUUGUAGAGGAUGCUUUGGGGCAGCCGCCUGUCUAAGUUCCUUGGAACAGGACGUCAUAGAGGGUGAGAAUCCCGUAUGUGACAGGACAUGGCACCCUAUGUAAAGCUCCUUCGACGAGUCGAGUUGUUUGGGAAUGCAGCUCUAAAUGGGAGGUAAAUUUCUUCUAAAGCUAAAUACCGGCGAGAGACCGAUAGCGCACAAGUAGAGUGAUCGAAAGAUGAAAAGCACUUUGGAAAGAGAGUUAAAAAGCACGUGAAAUUGUUGAAAGGGAAGCGCUUGCAAUCAGACUUGUUUUGACUGUUCGGCCGGUCUUCUGACCGGUUUAUUCAGUCUGGACAGGCCAGCAUCAGUUUUGGCGGCCGGAUAAAGGCUCAGGGAAUGUGGCUCUCGCUUCGGCGGGAGUGUUAUAGCCCUGGGUGUAAUACGGCCAGCCGGGACUGAGGUCCGCGCUUCGGCUAGGAUGCUGGCGUAAUGGUUGUAAGCGACC
rnacentral:rRNA from 1 species